CGAACGCUGGCGGCGUGCCUAAUACAUGCAAGUAGAACGCACAGGAUGCACCGUAGUUUACUACACCGUAUUCUGUGAGUUGCGAACGGGUGAGUAACGCGUAGGUAACCUGCCUGGUAGCGGGGGAUAACUAUUGGAAACGAUAGCUAAUACCGCAUAAGAACAUUUACUGCAUGGUAGAUGUUUAAAAGGUGCAAAUGCAUCACUACCAGAUGGACCUGCGUUGUAUUAGCUAGUAGGUGAGGUAACGGCUCACCUAGGCGACGAUACAUAGCCGACCUGAGAGGGUGAUCGGCCACACUGGGACUGAGACACGGCCCAGACUCCUACGGGAGGCAGCAGUAGGGAAUCUUCGGCAAUGGGGGGAACCCUGACCGAGCAACGCCGCGUGAGUGAAGAAGGUUUUCGGAUCGUAAAGCUCUGUUGUUAAGGAAGAACGAGUGUGAGAAUGGAAAGUUCAUACUGUGACGGUACUUAACCAGAAAGGGACGGCUAACUACGUGCCAGCAGCCGCGGUAAUACGUAGGUCCCGAGCGUUGUCCGGAUUUAUUGGGCGUAAAGCGAGCGCAGGCGGUUAGAUAAGUCUGAAGUUAAAGGCAGUGGCUCAACCAUUGUAGGCUUUGGAAACUGUUUAACUUGAGUGCAGAAGGGGAGAGUGGAAUUCCAUGUGUAGCGGUGAAAUGCGUAGAUAUAUGGAGGAACACCGGUGGCGAAAGCGGCUCUCUGGUCUGUAACUGACGCUGAGGCUCGAAAGCGUGGGGAGCGAACAGGAUUAGAUACCCUGGUAGUCCACGCCGUAAACGAUGAGUGCUAGGUGUUAGGUCCUUUCCGGGACUUAGUGCCGCAGCUAACGCAUUAAGCACUCC
rnacentral:rRNA from 1 species